AGUGUAAAGGCAUAAGGGAGCUUGACUGCGAGACCUACAAGUCGAGCAGGGUCGAAAGACGGACUUAGUGAUCCGGUGGUUCCGCAUGGAAGGGCCAUCGCUCAACGGAUAAAAGCUACCCCGGGGAUAACAGGCUUAUCUCCCCCAAGAGUUCACAUCGACGGGGAGGUUUGGCACCUCGAUGUCGGCUCAUCGCAUCCUGGGGCUGUAGUCGGUCCCAAGGGUUGGGCUGUUCGCCCAUUAAAGCGGUACGCGAGCUGGGUUCAGAACGUCGUGAGACAGUUCGGUCCCUAUCCGUCGUGGGCGUAGGAAAUUUGAGAGGAGCUGUCCUUAGUACGAGAGGACCGGGAUGGACAUACCUCUGGUGUACCAGUUGUCGUGCCAACGGCAUAGCUGGGUAGCUAUGUGUGGACGGGAUAAGUGCUGAAAGCAUCUAAGCAUGAAGCCCCCCUCAAGAUGAGAUUUCCCAAC
rnacentral:rRNA from 1 species